CUGUCUGCAAAUUCUAGUUGGGGCUCGACCAUGCCAUUUGGACCUCAGUGGGGAGGAGGGGGGCGGAAGAGUCACCGCGCUUGGAUUUGGUGAUGGCUUCUGCAAUCAGAAGGGCUUAACUCCUAGUAGGCCCUGGUUUCUCGAAGAUUGAUCUGUUUCACAGGAAGUUUGGCACAAGUCCUGGUAAUUCUUCGGCUACGAAGAACAUGGCUGUGAUUGGAUAGGAGAACACAUUGUAUAACUACCUUCUUAAUCCUAACAAGGUGGCUAGGUCAGCAAACAGGGGCGCAUUCAGAGUCGUGUCGCUCGGAGGUAGGCUUGUUCAUGGGCGCCGGCGCGAUGGUCUUUGAAGAAAACACACCCGGGGUGCCUUGAAGCCCUUGCUUGUCGAGAAGCGAUGGCGCUGGCAGGAGAUUUCAAUGUUGCGAGGUCACCGUGGCCUCCGAUUGCAUGGAAGUGAUACAAGGUCUGCAACACAAGAAUCUGGGAGUUUUCAGUCUUAUACCGACGGAGAUCAAGUCGAGAGCAGGCUCACGAAAUGGCUUCUCUUUUCACUAUGAGAGUCGUAACUCGAAUCAUGAAGCUGAUCAACUAGCGCGUUUUGCUAUGUCCGUAGAUGCAGGGCGCCAUGUGUGGAUGAAUAACCCAUGUCCCUAGAUGCAGGGCGCCAUGUGUGGAUGAAUAACCCAC